UACAGAGGUCUCAAGCGUUGUUCGGAUUCAUUGGGCGUAAAGGGUGCGUAGGUGGCGCCAUAAGUCAGGUGUGAAAUCUCGGAGCUCAACUCCGAAACUGCACUUGAUACUGUGGUGCUGGAGUACUGGAGAGGAGAUUGGAAUUUACGGUGUAGCAGUGAAAUGCGUAGAGAUGCGGAGGAACACCGAUGGCGAAGGCAGCCCCCCUGGGCUAACACUGACGCUCAGGCACGAAAGCGUGGGGAGCAAACAGG
rnacentral:rRNA from 1 species